AUUGAACACAAAAUAAACCAAAAUAACCAGUAAGGGGGGGGGUACUCAAUAAACAGAUUAGAAGAAGAAACAACACCGGAUAACUGAUAAGAGUAACUAAAACAUAGCUAACAGGUAUUAUGUGUGCGGAGCAGAGUGUGGCAUGGCUAAGAAUGAAGAAAAGGCUAAGUAUGAACAUGAGCUAAAGCAGGGCUAAACAUGAACAAGGCUGGACACUGGAUGGCUAAAAUGAGACGCAUCACUGCACAUUUUAUGCAUGAGCAUAUGCCAGGCUAGGCAUAAGUAAAUUCAGCAGAAACGAGAAUGGCAACACAGAAAUGGCUGGACAGAACAAACCAAUGCACGGCUUACAAGCUUGGCAACGCGUUACUAACAUGGGUAAGAAUGUCCAUCAAAGGUGCCUGCACAUGCAAAAUUAAUUUCUUGGACAUUCUGGUACGUUAUUUUGACUCCCCGGGUCACAUUAAGACACUCCUGGUGUGUUAGAAGUACUCCCCCUACUUAUUUCACAUUUUUGAGAGUUUAUCCAAUCAAGUUCAAGAAUCGUUUCAAAUUUGGCGGACUGGGUACGUCUGCAUUCGCUUGUUGCUGUCUUCUCAAAUGUGUUGCUUAUUUAGUCAGCUACUGUAGCUGUAAAUGUGGCAAUGUUUUUUUUUUUUUUUUUUAUAAAGGCUGGCAUCCCAGCUACCGCAACGCGAGGAGGUUGUUUGUCAAACUGACGCCACUGCAGGCUGUGGACACACGGCUACCUUGUAUAAGAGUUGUUGCUCACCUCAGGAGCAAAGAAUGGUGUCAAGGAAAAUGUCAGGAACUCGGGCAGGCGGCGGACCCACAUGCACAGCACGGAGACGAUAUUAUAAUUAACAAAAGAUUUAUUCCUUAAGACACGGUCAGACGGUCCAGGUCAACACAAAAAGGCUCGGCAAGAGUACAGGCAGGGAACAGGCAAAAACUCACGGUAAGUAGGUAAUCCGGGGUCGGGCAGGAUACACGAUGCGAACAGGAACAAAACACGAGAAGCACGAACAUUCAGGAAACACAGGAAACAAGGAUACACUCAUGGGACUCGAAACGACAAUCUGGCAAGUGACUACGGGAACAGGAGGUGACUAAAUACACGGGUGAGUGAUUACUGAUGCAGCGCAGGUGAGGAUAACGACCGGGUGAAACAAGAACAGCUGUGACGUGACAUGGCUCGGGAGUGAAGCUAGAACACAAAACAGAGACCGGGGGACUACCAAAAUAAAACAGGAAACGGAACCUGGAACCA
rnacentral:lncRNA from 1 species